GGUGGCAUUUUAUUUUAUUAGAGGAAUUUGUCUAUUAAUUGAUAAUCCACAAUAAAUUUUACUUUUCUUAAAAACUUAUAUACCGCCAUCAAAAGAAUUAAUUUAAAAAUUUUAUUCUUAAUAAUUAUUUAAAAGUUAGGUCAAGGUGUAGUUUGUAUAAAAGUAUAGAUGAAUUACAUUAAAAUAAAUUUAAGAAUUUACUUAUUAAAAUUUUUAAUGAAAAAGGAUUUAAAAGUAAAAAAUUAAUAAUAAUAAUAUUUGAAUCGUUAGAAAUGUACACACAUCGCCCGUCGCUCUU
rnacentral:rRNA from 1 species